AGCAGUCGCCGCGGGAAUACAGAGGGUGCGAGCGUUAAUCGGAAUUACUGGGCGUAAAGCGUGCGUAGGUGGUGGUUUAAGUCCGUUGUGAAAGCCCUGGGCUCAACCUGGGAAUUGCAGUGGAUACUGGGUCACUAGAGUGUGGUAGAGGAUAGUGGAAUUUCCGGUGUAGCAGUGAAAUGCGUAGAGAUCGGAAGGAACAUCUGUGGCGAAGGCGACUAUCUGGGCCAACACUGACACUGAGGCACGAAAGCGUGGGGAGCAAACAGGAUUAGAUACCCCAGUAGUCCCUGUCUCUUAUAC
rnacentral:rRNA from 1 species